rnacentral:rRNA from 1 species
UAAGGAAUAUUGGACAAUGGUGGCAACACUGAUCCAGCCAUGCCGCGUGAAGGAUGAAGGCCCUAUGGGUUGUAAACUUCUUUUGUACGGGAAAAAACCUUCUUACGUGUAAGAAGCUGAUUGUACUGUAAGAAUAAGGAUCGGCUAACUCCGUGCCAGCAGCCGCGGUAAUACGGAGGAUCCAAGCGUUAUCCGGAUUCAUUGGGUUUAAAGGGUGCGUAGGCGGAAUGAUAAGUCAGUGGUGAAAUCUCGCAGCUUAACUGCGAAACUGCCAUUGAUACUGUCAAUCUUGAGUACAUUUGAUGAGGGCGGAAUGUGUCAUGUAGCGGUGAAAUGCUUAGAUAUGACACAGAACACCGAUUGCGAAGGCAGCUCUCAAAACUGUAACUGACGCUGAGGCACGAAAGCGUGGGUAUCAAACA